UCUCUGACUGUGCCGAUGAUUACAUAGAACGUGAUGAGGCAUAGUACGUGAUGAGGCAAGCUGCUGGUGCGGAAACCAGUGCGCAUAUUUGUUUCUCUUCGCAGCUCAUAUUUGUGUUUUGUUUGCACCGUGUAUUUUUCUUCGCAGCCCAUAUUUCCAUUGCGCAUAUAGUGUUCAAUCCCAUAUUUGUUUUUCUUUGCAGUUGGAUGAUUGCGGGUUCAGCACGGGCUCUUGCUUUCCAGCUGAUCACAUCAAUGACCUGCACUGGUAUUAUUAGUUGAACUUAGUUGUAAUCAAGGAGAAUGAGCGUGUCUAGUGGGCUGAAUCUAGAAGCUAAUGAUGGAGCUCGACGACGGCGAACUCAGUGGUUUGAUGGCCGCAGGAAAUGAAGGUGUGAAAGACAGCGGAGUCUAGGUCCACGUGCUUGGUGCAGAAACAGUACCGUGUGGAGGUCAAUCUUUGGCCGCAUCUGGAGUUGCAAGAAUUGCUUCCGAGAUGUUGGCAUUCUCUCUGUUACGAUGCACACGGUUCGUCGCUGCUUGCGGCGGCUCCCCAGUCGCGGUGCUCACCGGAAGCGCCUCUUUGUGUCUGCUCAUAACCAUCGCCGCCACUGGGUGCCCCUCGAUGCAACCCCCUCUUCGGUUGUCCCCGCCUUCAUGACCAUUAUCUGCUCCGCCGUUGAACCGCUCACUAGGAACAGCCUCGGUAUUCUUGCCUAUCAUUCGAGUCAUCUGAAGAAGAAAAAAGAAAAAAGAAAAAAACAUUUUACUAACUAACUGCUUCCCCGUGAUCAAGUUGAAAUGAACAGGCUUGCGAGUCACUGAUUAUGAGAUUUUUACCUCAAUCUCACGUUGAUACCAUUGUGGUCGCAAUGAAGAGCGAUUCUGUGGUUGCAGCCCCAAAGGCGAGCGUGGAAGUUUCGAAGGUUGAGGGCAUGGAAGUCACAGAGGGCAAGGAUGAGUUGGCUUGCAGGUGAUCUCUGCAAGCUACGAGCGAGCAGCUUCCAUCGCUGCCGGGAUCACGAGAUGCACGGAGUCUGCCACCAUUUCUGCAAUCUUGUCACCCCCAGGUCACACUUUCAGUCCCAACUUUGGUGUUUCACAAACCAGGAAUUGUGUAUCUGGCAAUCCCCUUGUCUGCGCGGGUGUCUGUGAUUUUCAAGGGUCUUGUUAAGAUUCCAACAAUGCUGUGUCUAUUUCCCCUCGUUGGGAAGUUGGGGUGCGGGUUGAGCUGGUUGGAACAUAUCAGAGCCAAUCUGCGACGGUGUUUCCAUCUGCUGAUGUGACCUAAUUGCUGGAGAAUGGCGGUGAGUCGCCGAAUGUCAACGAGGUACCCAAUCGCAAGGAAAGGAGUUCCAGCACAAAAUUUAUCCGUGAAUGGUUGGUACAUGCGACGUUGUCGAGGAACUAAAAAAAGCGAUCACCAGAAGGAAAGAAUGUUGGCCGCUCUAUUGACCACCCUGAGCAGAUCCAGUAACCUAGAUUCAGCACCGCGUGCUGAGAGAUUGGAGCUGAGGUCCGACAACAAACUUUCGCUCUCGACGGACAAAGCGUUCCGGUGUGGGCUCCUAGGAAUUGGUCCUCACUGACCGACAUAAGUUUGUUCGCUGGUCUGCCGGCAAAUUUAUUCUUUAAAAUGUCUUUAACAACCUGGUCCUCCUCACUUGUGCGAGCUGGAAAUAUAUCCACCUGGAUAUUAGAAUCCCAAUUUAUUUUAUGGAUUCCCAAUGGGCACCAGCCUUGAAUGUUGUUCCUUUUGAACACCCUGACUUACUGAGUAGAAAUUGGCUCCAUUCUUGUUCAAUCAAACUUGGUUUCCGCAACAGUAGUUUCUUGUGUAAUUAGUCAUAUUUGAUCUCAAUACUACAUGAAUGCAAUUGACAUUCAUUGCCUCUCCAACCCACUGCCAUUGUCUUUAAUAUUAAAUCUUAUGUUAUUUAUACUGAUCUUUGUUUUACCAAACUUUUUGCUUGUCUGCUACUUAGAGGCAGUGGGCAAGGUAGAACCAAGACUGAUACUUUUUAUCCAUGUGCCAAGUUACCAAGGUACUAGCUAAGCACAUUUCUUGCUAAAGCAUUGUUA